UACGUAGGGUGCGAGCGUUAAUCGGAAUUACUGGGCGUAAAGGGUGCGCAGGCGGUUAUAUAAGACAGAUGUGAAAUCCCCGGGCUCAACCUGGGAACUGCGUUUGUGACUGUAUGACUAGAGUACGGUAGAGAGGGGUGGAAUUCCUGGUGUAGCAGUGAAAUGCGUAGAUAUCAGGAGGAACACCGAUGGCGAAGGCAGGUCUCUGGGCCGAUACUGACGCUGAGGAGCGAAAGCGUGGGGAGCGAACAGG
rnacentral:rRNA from 1 species